CAGUUUUUAAUUUUAAUUGUGUUUUUGUUAAUAAAUGAUAAUUAAUUAAUAAAAAAGUCAUCUAUUUGCUUCUUUUUCAUAUAAUUUCAUGGAAAAUUCAUAAUAAAGAAAGGAUUAGGAAAAGGAGGAGAUUCAUACAUAAAUUGCUUGUUGUCUACACAAUGGAUCUGACUUUUCAACCUUGAUAUUCCUAUCUUCGGUACGACAGCAUUGUAUACCAGCGUUGCACUCGGUGAGUUCGUUCAAAGAGCAGUGGAUGCAAACAACACGUGUAAACCUCUGCAUCGAAUUAGCAAGAGAAAUAUGGUUCUAAUGCGAAUUAUUCCACGAUACGGAUGCUCAUGGAAGAAAGAGGCUCGUGGCGCUACCGAUGGAAACGGACGAAAACAGCACACAAGGAGAGAGAGAGAGAGAGAGAGAGAGAGAGAGAGAGAGAGAGAGAAAGAAGGGGGAGGAGAGGAAGAACGUUGCUCAAACAUCCGAGUGUUUAUCACGUCGAGUGAAUGAUUACAACGAUGGGGUUCCAGGGUUUUUAGAUUGGACGAGUUUCUUUUUCUUGGCGGGAGAUGGAACGAUUGCGUGGAGGAUUUGUUGGAGUUGUUAGGUAACAGGAGGGUAAUGAAUUCAUUUUUAUCGUUUCUUCCUAAAAAUUCUUUUUGUUUCUUUUUCUUCGUUACGCAGGUUUUUACUUUUGUAUUUUUUUUUUUUUUUUUUAGUUUUUAUAAGUAUAAGGGAUUAAAAAAUCUUUAUAUUAUUUUAUUAAUGUAAUAAAUUAAAAUUCUUUUUUUUUAUGUUUAUAUUCGAAAUACAAAAUAUUUUAAGCCUACGAUGUGAUUCAAAAUUAUCAUUGACAAGAAUUCGUAUCUUACUUUAUUUACUCUAUAUUUAUUAUUUCUUUUAUAUGUAACACGGCGGAUAACGCGUUUUGUAAUUUUUUUUUUAAAGCUGUCGACGUCUUUUUUUUCGAAAUGUAGAUUUCACUUUGUAAACGCGUUUAAUCGAUUCGUCGCGUGAUUCUGCACGCCAGAUAAAAGUGCUGACCGCAUAACGGGUUCUGGAACGUCUUCGUUCAGAGUCGUGUAGUCACCUAUAUAACCACAAUGUAGUUCAUCGGUGAUCUAAAACCCGAUGUGGAUUAAAUUAAAUACGGAAUUCGAAUUAACAAUUCAAAUCAACAGAUGCACUCGAAUCGGUUAUCGUGGAUAGAAUAAAGAAAAUCCAUUUCUUUCGAUCUAUAAUUUGUUGGGCCAAUAGAGAAUUGGAUGGAACGAAAGAUGAGGCGUUAUUAUUCAUUCGAGGCUCGAAUCGAAAAUCGAUCUUGAUGAAAAGAUGAUUAGUCAUUGCGAUGGUCUAUUUCAAACGUUCGUAUUAUCGUCUUCGAGAUAUCGUCGAGUUCAAACUGUAUAUCUUAAUAACAAUGAAAAAUAAAUCACACUCUGCAUCUCGAAAAAUAAACGAACAAAAUUUUGGAACAGCUUAAUA